CCUUAGCUCAAUUGGUUAGAGCAACUGACUCAUAAUCAGUAGGUUAUCAGUUCAAGUCUGGUAGG
rnacentral:tRNA from 1 species